GUGCCUUAUGUGUUCUUCUAGAUGGAGAGCAAGGUGAACCCUCAGCAUCCAAGGACAGCGACACCAGCACCACUGAAGCUCAGGGCGAGGACUCGCAAGAACCCGAAUUAACUCAAACAGACAGCAAUCAGUCCAAAGACGAUGCCACAGAGCAGAAGAAGGAGCCGAGGAAGGAAUUGGAAGACAAUCAGCCUCAGAUG